rnacentral:misc_RNA from 1 species
GAAAUGCGAUACGUAAUGUGAAUUGCAGAAUUCAGUGAAUCAUCGAAUCUUUGAACGCAUAUUGCGCUCUCUGGCAUUCCGGAGAGCAUGCUUGUUUGAGUAUCAGUAAACACCUCAAGUCAAGAGAUAUUAUUUUAUCUCAAGACUUGGAUUUGAGUGAUCCUAACGACAAGUCUUCUUUUUGAUGACUUGAAGGCAGGUCACUUGAAAUUCAGGUGCAGCUGAACUUUUCUUCUGAGCUAAAAGCAUUAUUUUAUUUAGUCUUUAUUGACUAUUACUUUUUGCUGCAGCUAAUAUAAAGGGAGAAGAGUUUCUUAAUGCUGACUGAUGCAGGAAUUUAUCAGUCUCGUAAAAAAGACUGUUAGACUCGAUCUCAAAUCAAGUAAGACUACCCGCUGAA